rnacentral:piRNA from 1 species
CAGAGGAAUAUCUUCGAGGUGGACUUUGCAU